GGAUGCUCUUAACCAUUUCUCAGCCAUCAGGUACCCAGUGGACAGACAGAGGCCAGUGCAGCCAGGCAACAGUGCUCGAGCUGACUCUGAUGCAUACCACAUCCAGAAAAAACAAUCAACGACAACAAAUGCAAUGACUGAUCUUGAGGUCGCCGACACAGAGCUUUGGGGUCCUGACUUGUCCCAAAGCAGGGACUUUAGCGAUGUUCGCUUGUUUAUUGCCAGUGUUGUGCUCCCUGGCGCUCUGUGGAAAGGGAGAACCCGCCGCCAUGCUGACCAUGACACCAGAUACGGAUUCACUGUUGGGAGUCCAACUGUCUAGCAAGACACUUUUAGGGCUCAUCAGAGGGAUUUCUUUUCGUACACCCACAGAGCCAGCUCCUUGUGUGAGCUUCUCACUGCUGCCGGGGCUGCGUUCCUAGAAUAGCUGCAGCUCCGGGAGUGGAGGUGGGUAUAUUCUCAUCCAUCAGCUGCAGAGAACCAGAUGUCGUCACUUUUCAGCACUCCCUCCAGGGACACCUGGCCCCACCUCCCACAGCCCCUCAGUCAACCAGGAAAGUGUGCAAAUCUGGCCAUUGUGACUAAUCCUCUUCAGCUGCGCCUCCAGCCACAGCUUCCGUGUUCUCCUCCUCUGCCUUUACUUCCUCAGGGCCCAGCCCUGUCUGACUGCGUACAAUAUUUCUACCUAACUUAGCUGUCUACAUCCAGGGGAGCCCACCAGCUGUUACAAAGGUGAAUAAAGAAAC
rnacentral:lncRNA from 1 species